rnacentral:lncRNA from 1 species
GGGGUAUCUAGUUUGGAAAAUGUGUCCGGUGACCCAGCCAACCAACCAAGAUGGCUGCCAUGGCUAAAAAUAGAACAUAGGGGUAAAAUGUAGAUUUUGGCUUAUAACUCUGAAACCAAAGCAUUUAGAGCAAAUCUGACAUGGGGUAAAAUUGUUUAUUAAGUGAAGAUCUAUCUGCCUUGGAAUUUUCAGAUGAAUUUUACAACUAGUUGUUGGGUUGCUGCCCCUGAAUUGGUAAUUUUAUGGAAAUUUUGCCGUUUU